AAGUAUAAUACUUGAUACUAUUAAGUCUAAGUCUCUAACCCUAAGACGGCUAAGAUACUACACCUGACUUCAGCUGACCUGCUUUGUAACGUAACGAGCACUCUCAGUUGAACAAUUCAUAUUUGUCAAUGUCUCUGUAAAAUAAAGUCACUGUGUACAGACUAGCAACCAUUCUCAAGUUCUCCUACUACAGGUAAAGCUUGGCAAUCCUAGAAUAAAAUUUAUAUCUAUGUCAGGACUACGAAGAAGUCGACCAGAUGAGCAAGAUGUUAUUCUACGAAAACUUCAAGACAUUAAAAUAUCACACACAGAAAGACUUUCGUCUUCUUCAAUCGAAGGUAACAGCAGUAUGAAAGAGUCUAAAGAUGAUCCCAGGUCUCUAUCUUUACUAAAGA
rnacentral:sRNA from 1 species